rnacentral:rRNA from 1 species
CUUGGUCAUUUAGAGGAAGUAAAAGUCGUAACAAGGUUUCCGUAGGUGAACCUGCGGAAGGAUCAUUACAGAGAACAUCGCCCUCACGGGUGACUCUCCAACCCUAUGUUAUCAUACCUUUGUUGCUUUGGCGAGCCGCCUCGGCCACCGGCUCCGGCUGGUGAGUGCUCGCCAGAGGACCCUAAACUCUUGAAUUAAUUAUUGUCUGAGUAAUAUUAAAUUAUUAAAACUUUCAACAACGGAUCUCUUGGUUCUGGCAUCGAUGAAGAACGCAGCGAAAUGCGAUAAGUAAUGUGAAUUGCAGAAUUCAGUGAAUCAUCGAAUCUUUGAACGCACAUUGCGCCCUGUGGUAUUCCGCAGGGCAUGCCUGUUCGAGCGUCAGUACAACACUCAAGCUCAGCUUGGUCUUGAGCCCAGCGGAUCACCCCGCGGGCUUUAAAAUCAGUGGCGGCGCCAUUAGGCUCUCAGCGUAGUAAUACUCCUCGCUCUUGAGUCCUGGUGGCUGCUUGCCAGCAACCCCCAACUUCUAAGUUUGACCUCGGAUCAGGUAGGGAUACCCGCUGAACUUAAGCAUAUCAAUAAGCGGAGGA